rnacentral:pre_miRNA from 1 species
AACAUACUCCCUCCGUCCGGAAAUACUCGUCGGAGAAAUGAAUGUAUCUAGAUGUAUUCUAGUUCUAGAUACAUUCAUUUUUAUGCAUUUCUUCGACAAGUAUUUUCGGACGGAGGGAGUACCAA